rnacentral:rRNA from 1 species
UUAAGUUAGAAAGGGCGCACGGUGGAUGCCUUGACACUAGGAGUCGAUGAAGGACGGGACUAACGCCGAUAUGCUUCGGGGAGCUGUAAGUAAGCUUUGAUCCGAAGAUUUCCGAAUGGGGAAACCCACCAUACGUAAUGGUAUGGUAUCCUUAUCUGAAUACAUAGGGUAAGGAAGACAGACCCAGGGAACUGAAACAUCUAAGUACCUGGAGGAAGAGAAAGCAAAUGCGAUUUCCUGAGUAGCGGCGAGCGAAACGGAACAUAGCCCAAACCAAGAGGCUUGCCUCUUGGGGUUGUAGGACAUUCUAUACGGAGUUACAAAGGAACGAGGUAGACGAAGCGACCUGGAAAGGUCCGUCGUAGAGGGUAACAACCCCGUAGUCGAAACUUCGUUCUCUCUUGAAUGUAUCCUGAGUACGGCGGAACACGUGAAAUUCCGUCGGAAUCUGGGAGGACCAUCUCCCAAGGCUAAAUACUCCCUAGUGAUCGAUAGUGAACCAGUACCGUGAGGGAAAGGUGAAAAGCACCCCGGAAGGGGAGUGAAAGAGAUCCUGAAACCGUGUGCCUACAAAUAGUCAGAGCCCGUUAACGGGUGAUGGCGUGCCUUUUGUAGAAUGAACCGGCGAGUUACGAUCCCGUGCGAGGUUAAGCUGAAGAGGCGGAGCCGCAGCGAAAGCGAGUCUGAAUAGGGCGUUUAGUACGUGGUCGUAGACCCGAAACCAGGUGAUCUACCCAUGUCCAGGGUGAAGUUCAGGUAACACUGAAUGGAGGCCCGAACCCACGCACGUUGAAAGUGCGGGGAUGAGGUGUGGGUAGCGGAGAAAUUCCAAUCGAACCUGGAGAUAGCUGGUUCUCCCCGAAAUAGCUUUAGGGCUAGCCUUAAGUGUAAGCGUCUUGGAGGUAGAGCACUGAUUGGACUAGGGGUCCUCAUCGGAUUACCGAAUUCAGUCAAACUCCGAAUGCCAAUGACUUAUCCUUAGGAGUCAGACUGCGAGUGAUAAGAUCCGUAGUCAAAAGGGAAACAGCCCAGACCGCCAGCUAAGGUCCCAAAGUGUGUAUUAAGUGGAAAAGGAUGUGGAGUUGCUUAGACAACUAGGAUGUUGGCUUAGAAGCAGCCACCAUUUAAAGAGUGCGUAAUAGCUCACUAGUCGAGUGACUCUGCGCCGAAAAUGUACCGGGGCUAAAUACACCACCGAAGCUGCGGAUUGAUACCAAUGGUAUCAGUGGUAGGGGAGCGUUCUAAGGACAGUGAAGUCAGACCGGAAGGACUGGUGGAGUGCUUAGAAGUGAGAAUGCCGGUAUGAGUAGCGAAAGACGGGUGAGAAUCCCGUCCACCGAAUGCCUAAGGUUUCCUGAGGAAGGCUCGUCCGCUCAGGGUUAGUCAGGACCUAAGCCGAGGCCGACAGGCGUAGGCGAUGGACAACAGGUUGAUAUUCCUGUACCACCUCUUUAUCGUUUGAGCAAUGGAGGGACGCAGAAGGAUAGAAGAAGCGUGCGAUUGGUUGUGCACGUCCAAGCAGUUAGGCUGAUAAGUAGGCAAAUCCGCUUAUCGUGAAGGCUGAGCUGUGAUGGGGAAGCUCCUUAUGGAGCGAAGUCUUUGAUUCCCCGCUGCCAAGAAAAGCUUCUAGCGAGAUAAAAGGUGCCUGUACCGCAAACCGACACAGGUAGGCGAGGAGAGAAUCCUAAGGUGUGCGAGAGAACUCUGGUUAAGGAACUCGGCAAAAUGACCCCGUAACUUCGGGAGAAGGGGUGCUUUCUUAACGGAAAGCCGCAGUGAAUAGGCCCAAGCGACUGUUUAGCAAAAACACAGCUCUCUGCGAAGCCGUAAGGCGAAGUAUAGGGGGUGACACCUGCCCGGUGCUGGAAGGUUAAGGAGAGGGGUUAGCGUAAGCGAAGCUCUGAACUGAAGCCCCAGUAAACGGCGGCCGUAACUAUAACGGUCCUAAGGUAGCGAAAUUCCUUGUCGGGUAAGUUCCGACCCGCACGAAAGGUGUAACGAUUUGGGCACUGUCUCAACCAGAGACUCGGUGAAAUUAUAGUACCUGUGAAGAUGCAGGUUACCCGCGACAGGACGGAAAGACCCCGUGGAGCUUUACUGUAGCCUGAUAUUGAAUUUUGGUACAGUUUGUACAGGAUAGGCGGGAGCCUUUGAAACCGGAGCGCUAGCUUCGGUGGAGGCGCUGGUGGGAUACCGCCCUGACUGUAUUGAAAUUCUAACCUACGGGUCUUAUCGACCCGGGAGACAGUGUCAGGUGGGCAGUUUGACUGGGGCGGUCGCCUCCUAAAGUGUAACGGAGGCGCCCAAAGGUUCCCUCAGAAUGGUUGGAAAUCAUUCGUAGAGUGCAAAGGCAUAAGGGAGCUUGACUGCGAGACCUACAAGUCGAGCAGGGACGAAAGUCGGGCUUAGUGAUCCGGUGGUUCCGCAUGGAAGGGCCAUCGCUCAACGGAUAAAAGCUACCCCGGGGAUAACAGGCUUAUCUCCCCCAAGAGUCCACAUCGACGGGGAGGUUUGGCACCUCGAUGUCGGCUCAUCGCAUCCUGGGGCUGUAGUCGGUCCCAAGGGUUGGGCUGUUCGCCCAUUAAAGCGGUACGCGAGCUGGGUUCAGAACGUCGUGAGACAGUUCGGUCCCUAUCCGUCGUGGGCGUAGGAAAUUUGAGAGGAGCUGUCCUUAGUACGAGAGGACCGGGAUGGACGCACCGCUGGUGUACCAGUUGUUCUGCCAAGGGCAUAGCUGGGUAGCUAUGUGCGGAAGGGAUAAGUGCUGAAAGCAUCUAAGCAUGAAGCCCCCCUCAAGAUGAGAUUUCCCAUAGCGUAAGCUAGUAAGAUCCCUGAAAGAUGAUCAGGUUGAUAGGUUCGAGGUGGAAGCAUGGUGACAUGUGGAGCUGACGAAUACUAAUAGAUCGAGGACUUAACCAU